UACAGAGGUCCCGAGCGUUGUUCGGAUUCAUUGGGCGUAAAGGGUGCGUAGGGGGCGCUGUAAGUGGGGUGUGAAAUCCCGGGGCUUAACUCCGGAACUGCAUUCCAUACUGCGGUGCUUGAGGACUGGAGAGGAGACUGGAAUUUACGGUGUAGCAGUGAAAUGCGUAGAGAUCGUAAGGAAGACCAGUGGCGAAGGCGGGUCUCUGGACAGUUCCUGACACUGAGGCACGAAGGCCAGGGGAGCAAACGGG
rnacentral:rRNA from 1 species